rnacentral:rRNA from 1 species
UACGAAGGGUGCAAACGUUGCUCGGAAUUAUUGGGCGUAAAGCGCACGUAGGCGGCUUGGCAAGUCGGAUGUGAAAUCCCUCGGCUCAACCAAGGAAGUGCAUCCGAAACUGCUGAGCUUGAGUACUUAAGAGGAUCGCGGAAUUCCCGGUGUAGAGGUGAAAUUCGUAGAUAUCGGGAGGAACACCAGUGGCGAAGGCGGCGACCUGGGCCAAUACUGACGCUGAGGUGCGAAAAGCGUGGGGGAGCAAACAGGG